rnacentral:rRNA from 1 species
CUACGGGGCGCUCCAGUGAGGAAUUUUGCGCAAUGGGGGGAACCCUGACGCAGCAACGCCGUGUGAGUGAAGAAGGCCUUUGGGUCGUAAAGCUCUGUCAACUGGGAAGAAGUUACUGUGCUUUAAUAGAGUGCAGUAUUGACGGUACCAGUGGGGGAAGCGUCGGCUAACUCCGUGCCAGCAGCCGCGGUAACACGGGGGACGCAAGCGUUAUUCGGAAUUAUUGGGCGUAAAGGGCGCGUAGGCGGUCUUGUCGGGCAGGUGUGAAAGCCCGGGGCUCAACCCCGGACGUGCACUUGAAACAGCAAGACUUGAGUACGGGAGAGGAAAGCGGAAUUCCUGGUGUAGAGGUGAAAUUCGUAGAUAUCAGGAGGAACACCGAUGGCGAAGGCAGCUUUCUGGACCGAAACUGACGCUGAGGCGCGAAGGCGUGGGUAGCGAACGGGAUUAGAUACCCUCGUAGUC